ensembl:lncRNA
CCCAAGUCGGAGGUGGAGGCUGCGAGGCGAUCGCUGUCGCUCCGGUUGGAACAAGUGUCCAGGUGGCGUAGCUCCCUUUCGAGCCCCUCCCCCCCUGCCUCCGCCUCCUCCUCCCCGGUCCCGCCACCUCUAAGCCGAGUCGCCGGAGUGUCUCCGUCCAUCAGCACCUGCCCUCCAUCCAAACCCUGCUCCACCCCACAGUCGUCUGAAAGACACGCUCCGUCCUUCUCGUCCCCGCUCCACCCGGCCCUCCAUCGCACCCUGAGUCCCAUAGGGAAGGAGCUGUCCCC